rnacentral:rRNA from 1 species
AGAUUGAACGCUGGCGGAAUGCCUUACACAUGCAAGUCGAACGGCAGCACGGGAGCAAUCCUGGUGGCGAGUGGCGAACGGGUGAGUAAUACAUCGGAACGUGCCCAAUCGUGGGGGAUAACGUAGCGAAAGCUACGCUAAUACCGCAUACGAUCUACGGAUGAAAGCAGGGGAUCGCAAGACCUUGCGCGAAUGGAGCGGCCAAUGGCAGAUUAGGUAGUUGGUGGGGUAAAGGCUCACCAAGCCUUCGAUCUGUAGCUGGUCUGAGAGGACGACCAGCCACACUGGGACUGAGACACGGCCCAGACUCCUACGGGAGGCAGCAGUGGGGAAUUUUGGACAAUGGGCGCAGGCCUGAUCCAGCCAUUCCGCGUGCAGGAUGAAGGCCUUCGGUUGUAACUGCUUUUGUACGGUAACGAAAGCCUUACCUCUAAUACGAGGAGUCAGUGACGGUACCGUAAGAAUAAGCACCGCUAACUACGU